GGUGAGAUGGCCGAGUUGGUUAUGGUAAGCUCGCUUCCGAUCAUAGUCACCUUAACACCUUACUUACAAAAGCAGGCGCCAGGUUAAGGAGCAUCUUAACAUCAUUUCCUGGUCACGAAAGUGGCGUGGGUUCGAGUCCCACUCUCAUCA
rfam:Paraphaeosphaeria sporulosa strain AP3s5-JAC2a unplaced genomic scaffold CC84scaffold_5, whole genome shotgun sequence.